GCGCUAAGUGACAAAUAAAUAAAUGCAAAGUAAAUAAGAUUACGUUGAAAAUGUGCAGUGUAAAACCAAAAACUAAUUUUGAAAAUAAAACCGCCAAUUAGCUGCUAAUUUGAACACAAAUCAAUCAAGCAACAGUUAAUGACAAGCAAAGCUAAUAAAUAAUAGCAAAAACGAAAAAGUAAAUAAAAACAA